rnacentral:misc_RNA from 1 species
GUACCUUCAAGCUCUGCUUGGUGUUGGGCGUCUUGUCUCCCGUCUGCGGGAGACUCGCCUUAAAGUCAUUGGCAGCCGGCCUACUGGUUUUGGAGCGCAGCACAUACCGCACUCUCUUCCAGCCAAGGUCAGCGUCCAGUAAGCCCUUUUCAC